rnacentral:tRNA from 1 species
GCCCGCCUAGCUCAAUCGGAUAGAGCGUCAGACUCUUAUGAGGCGGGUUUAAUCUGAAGGCUGCGAGUUCGACCCUCGCGGUGGGCU